rnacentral:rRNA from 1 species
GACGAACGCUGGCGGCGUGCUUAACACAUGCAAGUCGAACGGUAAGGCCCUUCGGGGUACACGAGUGGCGAACGGGUGAGUAACACGUGGGUGAUCUGCCCUGCACUUCGGGAUAAGCCUGGGAAACUGGGUCUAAUACCGGAUAGGACUACUGGCCGCAUGGGUGGGGGGGGAAAGCUUUUGCGGUGUGGGAUGGGCCCGCGGCCUUUCAGCUUGUUGGGGGGGUGAUGGCCUACCAAGGCGAGGCCGGGUGGCCGGCCGGGGAGGGUGCCCGGCCACACGGGGACUGAGAAACGCCCCAGACCCCUACGGGAGGAAGCAGUGGGAAUAUUGCACAGUGGGCGCAAGCCUGAUGCAGCGACGCCGCGUGAGGGAUGACGGCCUUCGGGUUGUAAACCUCUUUCAGCACAGACGAAGCGCAAGUGACGGUAUGUGCAGAAGAAGGACCGGCCAACUACGUGCCAGCCGCCGCCGUAA